AGUUCACCCUAAUAAAUGCAAGCAUUCUCAGGCGAAGGAGGCCUUUGAAGUUCACCCUAAUAAAUGCAAGCAUUCUCAGGCGAAGGAGGCCUUUGAAGGUACAGGUUUCAAAGACCCUAUACGAUGAUGAUUUUGACCAUUCAGACGGAAACAAUAUGGUCCUCCACCAUUAUUGUAAGUAUUAUCAAUAUUUCCUCCCGAGGAAGUGAAAGCAAAAAUACUAUUAUAGGAUCUGAUAUUUUCCUUAAAUUUAUUACUUUGUCUGCUUCCACUUGGGUAUAAAAGUUCUCG